GUGGGGAAUAUUGGACAAUGGGGGCAACCCUGAUCCAGCCAUGCCGCGUGUGUGAAGAAGGCCUUUUGGUUGUAAAGCACUUUAAGCAGGGAGGAGAGGCUAAUGGUUAAUACCCAUUAGAUUAGACGUUACCUGCAGAAUAAGCACCGGCUAACUCUGUGCCAGCAGCCGCGGUAAUACAGAGGGUGCGAGCGUUAAUCGGAAUUACUGGGCGUAAAGCGAGUGUAGGUGGCUCAUUAAGUCACAUGUGAAAUCCCCGGGCUUAACCUGGGAACUGCAUGUGAUACUGGUGGUGCUAGAAUAUGUGAGAGGGAAGUAGAAUUCCAGGUGUAGCGGUGAAAUGCGUAGAGAUCUGGAGGAAUACCGAUGGCGAAGGCAGCUUCCUGGCAUAAUAUUGACACUGAGAUUCGAAAGCGUGGGUAGCAAACAGG
rnacentral:rRNA from 2 species